GGGCCAAAAGUGUUAAGUUGGAAACUUGGUUUUUAUAAAACAAAAAUCAAAAACCCAUACACACACUUAUGUGUGUGUGUCUGGUCGAACUAAACACAGGGUUCCCCCACAAACCCUAGUUCCUGCAAUUUUCACCAAAUUGGGAGCUCUAAUCUGUUCCAAAUCGAUUCUCAAGCACAAAUUCGUGAUCACCUCGUUGAAACGAUCAGAAGGCAAAGAAUCUGGAUCGUCGAGUGGACAAGCCGGAGGGGAUACACGCUUGAAAGGGGUGCUCUAAAGGUAAUGCUCAUUUCAUUUCGGAUGCCGAUCAAGCAAGAAAUCAAGAACCGAACACAAGUUUUGAAGCUUCCACACUAAUCUAAUCAUGUUUAGACAAUGUUGUUUUGUAAACACUACUAAAUGUCGAAUGUUUUAAACUAGCUAGUUGGUUAUGUUAAAACACUAUAACGAUGUACAUCUUAGUUUAUUAACUAAGUUUUUGUUAAUUAUGCAUUUUUUUAAAAGUGCGUAUUUUAUAAUAAAAUAACAAAUAAAUAAGACGAGUGUUACAUAUCAUUAUAAAAUAAACUGGCGUUUGCAUCCUGUCAAACCAAGAAUGCUCAUAUAGAAGUGUUAAAUCGUAUUCCAUGAUAAUAGGUUCAGUUUUCUAAUUUAGAGUAAAAUGUCAUUUUCAUCCUUGAGGUUUGGCCAGUUUUGCGACUUUCAUCCAAAAGUUUGUUUUUUCCACAUCUGGAUCCAAAAGGUUUGAA